GGCCAUUCAUUCGCUCAUUAUCAGCUGUGCUUGUUUUCUAAGCUUUUUAUUUUUCUUGGGCCCCUGAAGAUCGAAAGCUAAAACUUUAAAAAAAGAGAAAAAUCGCAGAUGAUUUCUCUGCUUUCUCAGAUAUGGAGUUCGAUUCCUUGACUAUCACAGCUCCGCAACAGCAACUGCAGCUGCUGCUCUCCAUGUGCUUCCCCUGGGGAUUGUUUCACCAGGUAAAAGCAUUCCAUUUUUUUCUGGUUCUAUCAAGUACCAUUUUUUGCCUUGCUACAU
rnacentral:misc_RNA from 1 species